AAAACAGCGUCAUCGUUAUGAGGCCAGGAAUUUGUACCUUAGUCAUCUGAAGAUCCUGUAGCUGUCGUUGCCAGAUAACACAGGUCAGCAAGAAGUGGAACAAAGGAACACUGUCCAGCCCUAGAAAGGCAGGAGGUCCCGGUACCCCUGCCACAUGGAUGGACCCUGAGGACUCUGCCCGGGGAAAAAAGAAAAUGCUGACUCAUCCUUCUAGCCCUGAUGACUGGAAAGCCUAGAAAUAACACUGUACCGUGAAGUCUCCCAACGCUCAGGCCCUGCCCUGCUCCUGGCAGCACAGCAGCCUUGGCACGCCGUGGCUCAUAGAAACAUUACCUCCAUCUCUGCCUCUGCCUCACAGGCCUUCUCCCUGGAUGUCAUCUCUUGUAUGGACACCAGUCAUGGAUUAGGGCCCUCCAUGCACUAGUCUGACCUAACCUUAUACAUGUGCAAAGACACCACCCCCCACCAAACAGGUCAUGCUCUGAGGCUCCAGAUGGACCUGAAUUUUUUCAGGGGAUACUAUUCAACCCCAAAGACUCACUCCUUAGAAAUAUCUAUUAGAAAGACUUGGUAGUCCUUCUGUACAGUAACGUGGAGUAGUGGGAAGGACAUUCCCACCACUAAGUUCCUUCUCCAUGGCUCAGUCCCCACCUCUGCUGUGCACAGGGCCAGCACUGCAGCACCAACAAAUCACAGGUGGGGACACAAGGAGAGGGACUGCACAUGCAUUCAGGCAGGGCACAGAAGGCAUGGGUGUGUCCUCCAGGGUGAGCUGUUAUGAGCCAGUCUUGCCCUCAGGCACCGUGGCCCCUCCCAGCCACCUCAGGAGCCUGGCCUUCCAUCACACCCCAUCUAGAUGGGUUGUCCUGUGGCCACGGGCUCAGGCCACUGGGCCCUUCUCAACAGCUCUACCCAAGUUACACCACAGCUGCAAGUCUGGUCAAACUUCUCUCCACAACCAGACUGACCCACAGGGGGAGGCUGUUUCACUCUGUCCUCACUGUCCCCAGCACAUUUACACCUGGCACAAAGACAAGUGGGUCAAAGUCAUGGAAAAGUGUGCCAUUUAGGACAGCCAGGAACUUAGGGACUGUCCAUUGUGAGGCUGCUACCUCUUGGAUUUUAUCUUCUAGCACUUUCCUUACACCUCUUGAAUUUGGCUGAGCUUCCAGAUCUCCUGUGGCAAAGUCAGAGAGGGAACACCAGGCAGAGGGGCCUUUGAAGCAUGCCAGUAUCCCUGUGGCCUUGGUUCUGGCCGCUGGUCUCUGCUGCAUUCACACCCGUACCUUGGGAACACAGCUCAUUGACCACAAAAUCCCGGCUUGCUGAAACCUCCCAGUCAAAUUCCUCAGUGACCCCAUUUAGAAAUCCACCUUCUACCCUAAACUUGGUUCUAAGUCAUAAAGUUGCUGAAGUUCCCUUUCAGAGUAUUUCAUGUACCUAUGGAGAAUCCUAGCCCUGUGGUGAAAGGACCAUGAACAGAGAAUUUUGUUCUGUGAGAGCUCAACCUCGUCCCAAACAUUUUUCCAUAACCCACUUCUCACUAAACAGCCCAAUAAAUGCAUUUAUUAACCACAUCUAAGCAUAUCCAUUUACUUACUAACAUUUCCUAAUCCCUUACUGUUGCUAAGGGAUUAAUAAACCCCUUUUAUACAACCCCAAGUAUGAAUAGGAACUUAAAUAUACUAGAGCUGGUAAGUUUAUUACUAAAGCUGCUAGGAAGGCCUGGUGAGUUAUUAAAACGUUACAGAUCCUAUCUUGCUGGACAGCAUCUGUUCUCUAGUUUAUGAAUGCUGACAGUGAAUAUUUUACAUACAUUAAAUAUCUCUAAUUUUGUAAUUAAAUUAUAGUGGGUGCAUUCAACUGUCAUAAAACUGAAAAUAAUUAUACUGUGUAUACAGCCUAUAGGAAGCAUCAUAAAAUUGCUCCACAGAUGACUUAGGGAGAAGUUUCUAAUUGUGCCAAAAAUUACUGGCUAAAGCAAGCAGAAAUAACCAAAAUAGUAGACUGCCUCUGAGAAAAACCUGAUGUUCUAGGAGUAGUUUUAAAUAAACUAAACUGUCUAUAAAGAAAACAUUUUCUGGUUACAAGGAAGUUAAAAUGAAGAAUUAGCAAUUAUUGCAUUAGAAAAUAAAUAGGAUGCCUCCUAAUACAAGAGGCAGCAAAUGCACUUAUCUGGAAAGAAAGAAAAAAUGAGUUUUCAGUAGUACAGAGCCAUAAUUAUAGAACAAAGGUAAAGCAUAAUAUAACGUAUGAUCCUACUAGGGAUUUAAAAAUUCUUUAUGUAGCC